GGAGGAUGUUAGUGAGUUAAGGUAGUAGAGUCCUUCUGAUUCAAGUCUUGUUCCAAUCGUCUGUCCCGUACUGCGGUCCUGCAUAAUAAAAGAAUCAUUAGAAAAAUAUAUACCGUAAUGGAGGGCACGAGUCAAACGACUAACAUAUGCAAGAUUAAAAGGACAGCCAGGGACAUAAAGAACAGAAUCUAGAGUGACAAAGGGUAGAGGAUUCGCUUGUCCAACUCCUUUUGCUUUAGUUUGAGACCCAUUAGCUAAACUAACAUGGGGAAGAAACUGUGAAUACACAAUAUUUGACAAAAGGGAUUUAUUACCAGAGAUUUGAUCAGAAGCAGCUGAGUCCACAACCCAUUGUUCAAGAGGACUAGACUG
rnacentral:lncRNA from 1 species